rnacentral:rRNA from 1 species
GAUGAACGCUGGCGGCGUGCCUAAUACAUGCAAGUCGAGCGAACAGAUAAGGAGCUUGCUCCUUUGACGUUAGCGGCGGACGGGUGAGUAACACGUGGGUAACCUACCUAUAAGACUGGAAUAACUCCGGGAAACCGGGGCUAAUGCCGGAUAACAUUUAGAACCGCAUGGUUCUAAAGUGAAAGAUGGUUUUGCUAUCACUUAUAGAUGGACCCGCGCCGUAUUAGCUAGUUGGUAAGGUAACGGCUUACCAAGGCAACGAUACGUAGCCGACCUGAGAGGGUGAUCGGCCACACUGGAACUGAGACACGGUCCAGACUCCUACGGGAGGCAGCAGUAGGGAAUCUUCCGCAAUGGGCGAAAGCCUGACGGAGCAACGCCGCGUGAGUGAUGAAGGUCUUCGGAUCGUAAAACUCUGUUAUUAGGGAAGAACAAAUGUGUAAGUAACUGUGCACGUCUUGACGGUACCUAUCAGAAAGCCACGGCUAACUACGUG